GCAUUAGAAAAAUCUAGACCUAGCAUAUCAAGCCCUUGUGUACAUGAAUAUUACUGCUUACUUUGAGGUUACCAAAAAGAUUUAAAGAUUAUCUAAAGGAAAGUAUUAAGUAAGUAGCUGUAUAGAAGAUGUGGAACAGGGACAUGGCAAAGAGUCUGCAGGUGUCAUUCGAAUGGCCUGAGUCUGGGAGAGGCAGACCAAAUUCAAUCUCUGGGAUGAAGAGAGGUUCAGCUAGUUGCUCAAGGUCACGGAGCUAGUGGAGAUCAUAGACCAGAAUGUGGUCACCUGACUGAUCCUCUGCUCCCACAUCCUCCUUCACUCACUACUUCCUAUUUUGCAGAUGAGGAAAUUGUAAUCUGAAUAACAAGUUGCCUCUUUUGAAUAUGACUAUCACAAAAAUCUGACUGCAAAGUAGAAAGCAUUGAGUUGGCUUCAUGAAAAAUGAACUUUAAUAUUUAUAGAGUGCUUACUAUGCAUGCCAGUAUUACAAAGAUUUCAUACAUAAUAAUUUAUGGUAAUCCCCACACCAUUCUGUGGGAUGCACUUAGAUUAUUUCUACCAUCUCUCUUGUCAUAUGAGCAAAACAAGGAGCAAAGAUCAAGUAGCUUUCUUAGGUCACUAUUUGCAUAGAUGGGAUUUGAACCCAGGUAGUCCAGCUCCAGAAUUUGUCCACUCAACCAUGACCACAUUCCUCACCAAUAAGUGAAGAGGUGAAAGGGCAACUUGUUUACCUGGUGGCAUUGCAAAAACUCUGUUCAGACAAUAUGGUACGUUCCUGUCCCCUCCUGCCUUGAAUUUUCCAACGGGUGCCUUGCUCCACUCUAUGGAACGUGUGGGUUUUCCACACCAUCACUUUUCAAUGUGCAGAGAUUCUUGAGAGGUAUCCCUGAGCGCCAAGAGCAAUCCUUUUAUAAAGACAAUCUGUGAGUUUACUAUGAUGAGAACUAUAAAGAAACAGUCCCACCUCCAAGGUUGAGAGGCAAAGUAUCCAUAGGUGGUGACUGGACGGAGAGGUAGUUGGGGGACAUGGUGGGGCUGAGAGUGACAGGAGAGGAGGCCCAGGGAGGACUAGCCCAGUGCUCCACAGGGGGCCACCAGGUGUUGAGAAAGCCCUGCUGGGUGCCUAGCACUUGGCACGGCACCUGGUAUGAAGCAGGUGCUCAGAGCUAUGUGGAGCGCAUGGGAGCCUGGGUGCAAACAGAGCCCAGCAGGGAGGCGGGCAGCAGGGCAGAGACUGGAGGUGAGAGAGCACCGAACACACUUGACCUACUUUAUAACUUCGCUCCAGGUAAGCCCUAGGAGGACAGCACAGUGCCAAAUUUCCAGUCAACAGACAAAAGACCUUUGCCCAAACCACAGACAGCAUUCCUGCUGUGGCUGGAACUUUGAGGAAGUCCGCUUUGUGUUGGUUACCCUUCAAAGGGGCCUCUGUUCAGGCUUCUGGCCCACUCUGCCUUAGCUUGACAGUCUCCGUUCUUCCUCCCUGCAGGGUGCUUCAGGGUAGGCCAUGGCCAUCUGGGACCUGUCACCAGCCUCCUCUGCACUGGUGCCACAAGAGGAUCAGCCUGUGGCACUUCUGUCUAUCUCUCCAGCAGGUGCUGACAGCCAAGCCAUUCCACACACCUUUGGGACAAAGCACUGCCCAGCAGCCAGGGCCAAGUUCAGAGCCUGAACAUUCUUUCACAGGCUCGGUGGAGAACCUGGAGGGCCUGAUGGCUCAUUAUAUAAGCUGCACGUUGGGGACAAACCACUGAUGGGCAGACCCUGGUGCUCCUGGAAUUGCGUAAGCUGUAUGUACUUGUGAAGUGUCACAACGCGACUCCGCGUCUCUAUCAAAAAUGUGAGAAGGCCACCCUGCUCACACUCAGACUGCACAAAAGCUCUUCGCCACCAGGUGGUUAAGGCCACUUGAUCAGGCUGACAGGAGGGACAGGCCACCUUACUGUAGCUCUUGGCCCGGUGAGCCGAACACUCAGUACCUUGUGGCCCACUAGUCUUAGGCAGCAAAGGCCUCUGAUAAAAUGUCCUUUUUGCGUGUUUUUCCUGGCAGUCUCGUUUUGGGUUAUAAAUGGCUCAUUAUUUCCAUCCCAUAGAUCCACUCUUGCCUGUGUUACGUUCUCUUCUUGUUUUCUGAAAUAACUGAAAGGUUGGUAAAAUCAUGGCUGGCAGACCCCGUCUGUACUGACCUUGAGCAGAGGCCGAAUCUCCACAUGGCUCACGCCGUCUACGGUUGAUCCCAUGUGGGAGAGGUUGGCUGCAAAGGCCUCCCAAAAGCAAGGGCUAUAAUUAUAUUUACACUAAAGUACUUGGUGCCGUUAAAUGCCAGGAAGUAGCACGGACCUUCCCCUCACUCGAGCCCUGCAACCUUUCCAGAGGACAUUGGGCAAUGGUCAGAGGUUGUGAAGUUGGAACAGUGUUGUGCCCAGAUAGAUCAUUUUCCCUGCAGGGCAGCUUGGAGGCAAAUUUUAUUAAGUAUCAAGUAGCUGACCCAAAGCAGUAUAAAUAGCAAGAGAGCACAUGACCAACCAGGAAUGAAGGUGGCUGGAGCGCAGGCCAGAGGUCUGUUACAUGCUUAUUGACAGCACUUGCUCACUGGUGUCUUCCCCACAGCCAUCAGGGAAGGCUGGAGAACCACACAGACCGAGAUGUUAAAGCAUAAUCUCAGGGGGAAAAAAAGAAAAAAACAACACUUACUUUUGAAAGUUGGACCCCAUAGUUAACCCACAGAAAAGACCUAAGAAUGGAUUGGAGGUUGAGUGACAUUUGGAAGUAGAGACCCAGGCCACCCACGUGAGAGCCCAAGGCAAGCAUGAAAACCUGGUUUAUAUUGGGUAGGGACUGUGAGCAAUCACAAAUAGGCAAAAGGGACCCAAGUUUGAAUUUUUCAAGGGAAGGACAGAGAGAAUUUCAAUUCAGGUCUGUUCUCCCCAGCAUUCCCCACCUUUGCUUUAGGAUACACCACAUGGUGUACAAGGGCAGAAGGACGGGGCCACAGAUGACUGUCAGGAGAGGCCAUUGAGCUGCUGCAGGACAGUUUUCAUACCCGGCUGUUUCUUGUGUGUCCUGGGUCCACUGGCCAGAGCUGUUGACACCUCACAAGAGAAUCUGUGUUCCUACAAUGAUGGGAGAAGGUUCUGGGGAGGAAUGGUGUUAGUGGGAUACAGAGUGGAAGUUGCUGAAAAUUUCUACUCAGAGAUGACAAAUGGCUAAGGCAUCCUUAGCCCUGCCCCAACUUCCUGUAUACCUCGUAAGGGAAGAUGUCUGCUUCUUCCAGAUCUAAAUUCCAAAAAUAUUUUGAGAGGUGGCAGUAUUAUUAUCAUCUGUCCUGUCCCCUCUUUGGGUGAGGAUUAAACUCAGGGCCUUGCACGUGUUAGGCAAGUGCUCUACCACUGAACUACAUCCCCAGCCCUUUUGUAAGUUUUUUAUUUUGAGACAGGGUCUAGCAUAUUUACUGAGGCUGGCCUAGAACUUACAGUCCUCCUGCCUCAGCCUCCAGAGUCACUGGGAUUGCAGGCAUGUGCCACUGAGACUGGUUUUUACCUGACCUUUUUAAAGAAGACAAAGGUCACCUACAUACAUCACUUCUUGUAUGUUUAUUGGAAAUCUGAAUCUUUACUUUGUAUCUAGAGCAAAGACAUAAAGGCCAUGAACUUUCGGAGGCCAUAAGGGGCUGAUGCAGGCAAGGGAUUCUUCAGAGGAUGUGGGGGACGAAUGAGGCUCUGACUCCCUUUCCCAGACUCACCUUUGCUCCCACAGGCUGUUGGCUUCCUACUCAAUAUUCACUCUGCUUCUUUUCUCCUCCGUAAAACAACUCCAAAGUGGCGAUGUGCCUGGCUAAAAGACAGCAUUUCCAGCUCCCUUAUGGUAGGGAUGGCUAAGGAAACCUAAGGAGAUAUUUUUGGGUGGUCAGGCUUGCCAGAGAAAAUAUAAGGCACCGAAUUGAACUUGAAUUUUGGUAAACAGUGAAUAAUUUUUGAUUCUAAAUAUACAUAUGAAUCUCUCAUGUAAUAUAUUUGUAUUUUUAUUUGCCAAAUCUGGCAAAUCUAUGUGCAGGGAUUCUGGGAAAUAGGCUAAGACACUCUUUUUUGUCCUUAUUUUCCUUUCUCUUUUUUCCUGGGACAUGGAUGGGGUUACUGGGGUUUCAGCAACCACCUAGAGUCAUGUGAUUAAAGAUAGCAGAAGAGAAAAAAAAGAGAGGAGUGUCUCAUGACUGUGUAACUACAGUGUUAUUUAUGUGUGAGAAUCAACCAUUGAUUUGCUUUAGCCAUUAGCUGUGCCUCUAUGAUUUGUAGUCAGUUGCUAUUUGUAGCCAGUUGCUCUGAUAUAGCAAUAAUGAAGUGUGUAUUGUUGUUUUUCAUGUUUGGUUGAGUCUGUUUACCUUAUGCAUUUUGCUUUUGCCUCUUCUGGAACAAAACCAUUCUACUUUUACUUACUAUAUGUUGUAGUUGAACACAAUACCUUUAUUUAUCUAUCUCUCUAUCUAUCUAUCUAUCUAUUUAUUUAUUUAUUUUUUGUGGUGCUGAGGAUCAAACCCAGGGCCUCGCAUGUGCUAGACGAGCGCUCUAUUGCUAAGCCACGACCCCAGUCCCUACUUACUAUAAUUUUUAAGGACCCCACGAGAGAUGGACAGUGUUCCUUGUAUCCUGUGACAUGGCACCCUUAACAUGUACUUCUACAAGGUGUUAUUAUCUAUUUUGUAGGCUGAAUUUACAUGUUUUGAAUGAUUGCUGCAGAUAGUAAUAAUAAUAAUAAUUCUAAGAAUAGUUCUUAUCUUUGAACAAAGAUUUGGCCUGAAAACUCAAGUACUAGAAAAAUGAUGCUCUGAAACCUUAGAACCAUAUUUUAAAACAACAUUAACAGCAUCACUUACAUGCUAUCAAGAUUAGCUAAGGAUAAUCAGGUGCACAGGAAAAUCUAAUUUGUAUAGUAGUGCAUCAAUAAUUCAGGAAUCAUGGGAAAUCUGAUACCUUCCACUUCAUUAGCAAGUCAGCUGCUAUGAGCAGUCACAGGAAGGUAUUCUGGGAGGUGGAGAGGGCUGCAAAGGUGGCCUCUUUGCAUAUAAGCCCAGGCUAACUGGCUGAGCAUAGCUCAUUGUCCAUGGAAAGAGCAGUUACUUGGGCUAUGAACUGUAUAAACGCCUGCCCUCCCCUUGUGCAGUGGAAUCUUUUGAAGGUUAAGUAACAGUAAAUAAUCAACCAAGAUUUCUCAGAUUAGCUGCAUUUACCUUUCUCUGAAAAAAAAAUUUUUUUUUCCCCCUAUGAAGAUGAAACAACUUUGGAAUGAGAGCUGUAUUUCCUUCUAGAACUCCCCAUUCAGACCUUCAGAGAGCAGGAUCAGACCUGGCCUGGCUGGCAGAGACUGCCUACGGGACAUGGCUAGGCUUUGUGAUGUGGGUGAGGGGCCAUAGGGUUAGAAUUUAAUGGAAGUGGGGAGAGAAAACUCCCACUUCAUUUCAUGAGUUUCCACACAGGCCUUCUGGCACCAUCUGUCAGCAGGGAAGGGGCCUGCAGAGUCUUGCCCUUCGUCCCUCACUGGGGGUACAGAGAGUCUGGGAGCCAGAUCCCAGAGUAUGAGCUAUAUUACAAACCACAACAGCCUCAACUAACUCAAAGGAAAAAAUAAUACACAAAUGGAGAGAGAUCAGCCUACCAGACCAGGCCUUGGAGUCUAUCAUAGGUCAUGAUGUCAUGGUGGUUAGCUCAGAAGAGAUGAUGGAUGACACCAUUUGUGUCUAAACCAGAGAUGCAAAUAAAAGUUGCACAGAAAUGAGUUGGGAGGAGGAAAACCAAAGCAAAUCUGUUUAUUAGUAGCAAAUCUGUUUACUUACAAUGUAAAGCGGGGAAAAGAACAUAUUUCUUUUGUCCAGGGCAUAUUGAUUUAUAUUGACUAUCUAAUCAGCACACAUUUAUUGAACUUGUGUGCUGGGCAUUGUGCAAACUGACAGCAUGCACCUGUUUUUACAGAGCUGGUGGUAGAAAGGGUAACAAUGUCUUUGACCUUCCCAGGAAGGUUAGAAUUCUACAGGAUUCCUCUGUUCCUCAGGCUGGGUAAGAAAAGAGCACAGCCAAAGCCCGUCACCUCUCUUGUGCUGCAAUCGCUUAAGAUAAUGACAAUUGCUGUUCUAAACAAAAGUGCAAUAAUAUGUUGGUAGGAAAGUUUGCAAUGUUUUCUCCUCCUCCUUCUCCCCCCAUCUUCUUUCUUUUAAUAGGCUUAUUAUAAGCCCUGUAGAAAAGGUUAGAAGACCAUUUCAUGUUACAAUUUCUUUCUCUGUUACUAAAUAAUCACAUGACUUCUGGUGAAGUCCUUUAACUUCUCUGGAAUGAAGUUUAAACAUUCAUAGAAUGAGAUGGUUAAAAAGCAAGAGAAUGGUUUAAUGAAACCUGGUUUAGGAUAAGCAGUAAGAGGAGGUUAAAAGGGAAGCACUACUUGUCACCUGCAAAUUGCAUAACUUGGGUUAUUAAACAUCUUGAAGUUUUAGUCUUCUUAUCUGAGAAAUGAGGAUAAUGUGGUAUUUCUUGCGAAGGGAAAAAUGGACUAAUAGGUUAGACACCUGGUUCAAUGCAUGCAGGGGACAACAAAUGUCCCCUUGUGAGUGAAGCUAUUUUUAUCCUAUGCAAAUAUUAAUUGACUCCUUGAUUUAUUGUUCAUAUGCACACAUGCCUGGAUAUGUGUAUUAAUGUACAUAUCAUUGCUGAUAUCUAAGUGGUUAUUUGGGAAAUAUCAACAUAUUGGGGGCACAAAGGUGAAAUGGAUUUGGUUUUCCUCCUAAAUAGUACUUUCCACAGUUCUAUGCUAACCCCCUUUUCUAUCCCUCAUCAACAGAUUGUAGAAAUCUGCAGAUUUGAAAGGCGAAGCCCAUGAACUUUGAAUCUUGCUCUGGUUCAAAGCUUCCCUCCUCCUGUCUAUCCAUGUUUCAGUUUCCCCAGUGGCUUUGGCAAGGAGGAGCAAGGGGGAAGGGACCAUCACCCCUUACCUGCCCAGCUGUGGAUGCUAUAUCUCCAGAGAACAUGGUUGGCAUGCUGGUGCUUCUGUGUUGCAGGCACCAAGGGCUGGUAGCAAGCACAUUGUGGGUCUUUGGAGGGCUCUAUGGGUCUCCUGAGUGUACAUGUCAGUAACCUGAAACCCUCCUCAUGAUGGACUUCCUCUACUUGUCUCAGCUCUUGCCAUAGUCACUACCCUCCAGCCAACUCAUCUUGACAGACCAUGGCUUGAUCUCUCUAGUGUCUAGUGAUUUAUUUGCAUAGUUUUAUCAGGAUUUGGAAAUAUGUUCUAUGAAUGCAGCUUUUGCCCUUGGAUGCUCAUAACCUAAGCAAAUAACCCAUGUCGUUUGUUUCUUCUGCCAUUUCUAGGCUACCCUCCUGUUGGUCAUUGUUCAUGCAUGUCCCUGGGUUCCCUCAUUUGGCACGAGGCUGAAACCAUCAUGGUCCACUUCCGGAAUGCAUUUUCUGUUUCUCACCUGCAUGGUGAGUGACUUCAGACAAGGACUGAGCUUUGUACUUCUCUGCUUCAACAUCGGCUAGAACAGAUUUUACACACUGAGCCUCCAUUGCUGUUAGUCCAUCAUGUGACCCAUCCUACAGUUUCCCCACAAACUCCAAGCACCUCCUUACCACAUGCAAGGACUUGGUGGUGGUUCUCAAGAAAUUGCCAUUCUAGUUGGUAAGGGAAGCAGACAGAAAGAGCUGAGAUGAGCUGGUGACACCUUCUGCUCCUGCACCAUGAGAUCCUGUUCUCUUCUAUCCUCUCUGCCCCAGUCUGUUUGAUAUUGAAAUGGAAAGAUGCCGCAGUCUGGCUGGGCACAAUCAGGAGCCACUUGUCAAAAGAAACUAACUUUAUUUUUAGAACCACACACGCCAAACAAAANGGGAAACAGCCCAAUGAGCAUCACCGCAGAGGAGCCAAUCAGCUAGAUGUUGCUGGGGCCGCUGUGAGCCAAUCAUCAGCCAGCAGCUGGAAGUUUGCUGGCAGCUGGAAGUUUGCUGGGGCCCCUUUGGCUGUGGCUCUCAACAGAAAGAUGGUGAGAAUAGAAGCUGGUAGACUGGCAGUCAAGACUUGACAUGAAACAUCUUCAGCAGUCACUUGAUAAGUGUUUGCACUGUGAAGUGUUCUAGCAACCUCAUAACUCACACUGGCAACUCCUAUAAACACCCUCUCUUCUGUUUUCCUUCACUCUGCAACUUCUCAUUCCACCAUUGAUGGAUUAACUCAGUUUAGUGUUUAUCAGAUGGACUCAGUGCCAUUCUUAUAGAGACCAAGUCAAAAAGAACAAACAAUUAUUUAUCAAAUGAAUGCCAUUUAAAAGUAUUGUGCUGGUCAUAGUAUUAGGCAUAAAGAAGAAAUAAGCUGUC
rnacentral:lncRNA from 1 species